GUGCAGCAGUCGCGAAAACUUUACAAUGUGCGAAAGCACGAUAAGGGAACUCUGAGUGCCUCCUAAGGAGGCUGUUCAGGUGUCUAAAAGCACCUGGAGUAAGGGCUGGGUAAGACCGGUGCCAGCCGCCGCGGUAACACCGGCAGCCCAGGUGGUAGCCACUUUUAUUGGGUCUAAAGCGUCCGUAGCCGGUUGAGUAAGUUCCUUGGGAAAUUUGGCUGCUCAACAGUCAAGCUUCCAGGGAAUACUGCUCGACUUGGGGACUGGGAGAGGUCAGAGGUACUCCAGGGGUAGGGUGAAAUCCAUUAAUCCCUGGGGGACCACCGGUAGCGAAGGCGUCUGACCAGACCAGGUCCGACGGUGAGGGACGA
rnacentral:rRNA from 1 species